rnacentral:snRNA from 1 species
UUGGCUAAGUCCGUUCGGCGGA